GUCCAGUCAGACUAACAGCGGAUCACGCUCCACAGACUCUGUACACUCUACUCAGUACAGAAAAGAGAUUCUGCUGGAUAUAUAUGUGUGAAUAUAUACAUGAGUGACGUGAUUGACAGCCCUAAACAAACUGAGGAAAAAGUCACUAUGCCUCUGUGCUGUGAGCUCAAUGAAGGCAGUCUGAGACAUACUAGGUCUAGAGAUCAGCAGAGUUUCCAGCUCAAUCUCCGCCCACAAACCCGCCUACAGCAAAUCAGCAACGUCUAUC
rnacentral:lncRNA from 1 species